AGAAAAGUGACCGCCGCCCCGCGCAGGGGCGACGCUAGCAGACCGUAUGCAAAACAGGUUCAACGACAGUAAGAGGCGCACCGACAAAAACCCACGCCCCCGCGAGCCCCUC
rfam:Burkholderia vietnamiensis G4 chromosome 2, complete sequence.